rnacentral:rRNA from 1 species
AACUAACGCUGGCGGCGUGCCUAACACAUGCAAGUCGAACGAGAAAGUUGGCUUCGGCCGAUGAGUAAAGUGGCGCACGGGUGAGUAACGCGUGGAUAAUCUGCCCUUUAGUUUGGAAUAACGUACCGAAAGGUGCGCUAAUACCGGAUAAUACUGAAUGACUACUGUUGUUUAGUCAAAGAAGGCUUCUGUUUACAUGCUUUUGCUGUAGGAUGAGUCCGCGUACCAUUAGCUAGUUGGUAGGGUAAUGGCCUACCAAGGCGACGAUGGUUAGCUGGUCUGAGAGGAUGAUCAGCCACACUGGAACUGAGACACGGUCCAGACUCCUACGGGAGGCAGCAGUGAGGAAUAUUGCGCAAUGGGGGGCAACCCUGACGCAGCAACGCCGCGUGAGUGAGGAAGGUUUUCGGACCGUAAAGCUCUGUCGAGCGGGAAGAAAUGCAUGGUGGCUAAUAUCCAUCAUGCUUGACGGUACCGCUAAAGGAAGCACCGGCUAACUCCG